AUGAUCGAGGAGCGACACGGAGAAACUUGUCAUCUCGAAGAUCAUGAAUUGGAGAAAAUAUAUGGCCCACCCGCGUACGAAACUGAUUAUGACUCCGAUGAGAGUGGAGUGUCUUUCUACAUCAAUGGAAGGAACAUUUUCAUGAAAUACGGUGAUGGGUUUAGGUAUGAAGACGGGAACCCUUAUUAUGCAGCUGAUAAGGAAGAGACAUGGGAGAAGCAAAUUCUCAGACAAAUGAAGUUUCCAAUUCCUGAUCUUUUAGAAUCUUGGGAGGGGUCUCUUGUGGUUGAAGGGCCAUUCAACUUAGAUCCAAACCUAACAUUUACGGAUCAUUUGAUGCCUGCACUCCCCAAUUGGGAAAGGCGAUGGUUAGAUAGGGACGGGAAGGAACCAUGCCGUCGGGCUAUACAAGUACAUGGUCUGAAUCUAUCUUCUCCUAGUAAUGUUCUAUUGGAGAUCUAUGGUAUAUUUGCAUUUAGAGAUACACGCAAUAGUCAGCUGCGCAACUAUGUCUUUGACUACUCAAGAGAAAACCCAUGUAAACUUAAGCCGUUUAUAAAUACUACAACCAUUCGGGUUGCCAUCCCGAUGGUGUUGUCAGGAACUGUACAUUCGCUUCUCUUUUACGCCUCAAGAAUAUGGAAAGAGUUCAAAAAUGUUAAAGUAACCUGGACCUGUAACCUGUACGGCAUUCAGAUGGCCGUGAAGUCGACAUGGGCGGUGGCCUGCGGGGAGAAGGGGUGGCGUGCGGCGGUGGCCACCGGAGGAGGAGGAGAUGUGGGGAGGCGUGGCGGUGGCAGCCGGAGGAGGAGGCCGUCCGCCGCGCGCUGCUCUCUUCCUCCGUUGUGGGUGAAGGAUUGGUCGCGCGUGUGGUGGGACCUGUGCAACAGCGCCGACUACCCAGAGGCCGUCUUCCGCCGCGCCGAGCUCGCCGCCACCGUCUCCAAGGAGGACACCGCCCUCCGCGCCGCCAUCCCUGUCUACCAGCGCGUCGCCGUCUGCGUCUGGCACCUCGCCACGGGGGAGACACUCUGCAACAGGACG
rnacentral:lncRNA from 1 species